rnacentral:rRNA from 1 species
UACGAAGGGGCUAGCGUUGCUCGGAAUCACUGGGCGUAAAGGGUGCGUAGGCGGGUCUUUAAGUCAGGGUGAAAUCCUGGAGCUCAACUCCAGAACUGCCUUGAUACUGAAGAUCUUGAGUUCGGGAGAGGUGAGUGGAACUGCGAGUGUAGAGGUGAAAUUCGUAGAUAUUCGCAAGAACACCAGUGGCGAAGGCGGCUCACUGGCCCGGCAUUGACGCCGAACAGCGAAAGCUAGGGAGCAAACAGG